rnacentral:rRNA from 1 species
GCGAGGGGAGUGAAAAAGAACCUGAAACCGUGUACGUACAAGCAGUGGGAGCACCCUUUGGGGUGUGACUGCGUACCUUUUGUAUAAUGGGUCAGCGACUUAUAUUCUGUAGCAAGGUUAACCGAAUAGGGGAGCCGGAGGGAAACCGAGUCUUAACCGGGCGUUAAGUUGCAGGGUAUAGACCCGAAACCCGGUGAUCUAGCCAUGGGCAGGUUGAAGGUUGGGUAACACUAACUGGAGGACCGAACCGACUAAUGUUGAAAAAUUAGCGGAUGACCUGUGGCUGGGGGUGAAAGGCCAAUCAAACCGGGAGAUAGCUGGUUCUCCCCGAAAGCUAUUUAGGUAGCGCCUCGUGAAUUCAUCUCCGGGGGUAGAGCACUGUUUCGGCUAGGGGGCCAUCCCGGCUUACCAACCCGAUGCAAACUGCGAAUACCGGAGAAUGUUAUCACGGGAGACACACGGCGGGUGCUAACGUCCGUCGUGAAGAGGGAAACAACCCAGACCGCCAGCUAAGGUCCCAAAGUCAUGGUUAAGUGGGAAACGAUGUGGGAAGGCCCAGACAGCCAGGAUGUUGGCUUAGAAGCAGCCAUCAUUUAAAGAAAGCGUAAUAGCUCACUGGUCGAGUCGGCCUGCGCGGAAGAUGUAACGGGGCUAAACCAUGCACCGAAGCUGCGGCAGCGACGCUGAUGCGUUGUUGGGUAGGGGAGCGUUCUGUAAGCCUGCGAAGGUGGCCUGUGAGGGUUGCUGGAGGUAUCAGAAGUGCGAAUGCUGACAUAAGUAACGAUAAAGCGGGUGAAAAGCCCGCUCGCCGGAAGACCAAGGGUUCCUGUCCAACGUUAAUCGGGGCAGGGUGAGUCGACCCCUAAGGCGAGGCCGAAAGGCGUAGUCGAUGGGAAACGGGUUAAUAUUCCCGUACUUGGUGUUACUGCGAAGGGGGGACGGAGAAGGCUAUGUUGGCCGGGCGACGGUUGUCCCGGUUUAAGCGUGUAGGUGUGUGUUCCAGGUAAAUCCGGUU